rnacentral:rRNA from 1 species
GGCGGACGGGUGAGUAACGCGUGGGUAACCUGCCUCACACUGGGGGAUAACAGUUAGAAAUAGCUGCUAAUACCGCAUAAGCGCACAGCUCCGCAUGGAGCGGUGUGAAAAACUCCGGUGGCGUGAGAUGGACCCGCGUCUGAUUAGCCAGUUGGCGGGGUAACGGCCCACCAAAGCGACGAUCAGUAGCCGGCCUGAGAGGGUGAACGGCCACAUUGGGACUGAGACACGGCCCAAACUCCUACGGGAGGCAGCAUG